GUGAACGCUGGCGGUAGGCCUAACACAUGCAAGUCGAACGGCAGCACAGUAAGAGCUUGCUCUUACGGGUGGCGAGUGGCGGACGGGUGAGGAAUACAUCGGAAUCUACUUUUUCGUGGGGGAUAACGUAGGGAAACUUACGCUAAUACCGCAUACGACCUACGGGUGAAAGCAGGGGAUCUUCGGACCUUGCGCGAUUGAAUGAGCCGAUGUCGGAUUAGCUAGUUGGCGGGGUAAAGGCCCACCAAGGCGACGAUCCGUAGCUGGUCUGAGAGGAUGAUCAGCCACACUGGAACUGAGACACGGUCCAGACUCCUACGGGAGGCAGCAGUGGGGAAUAUUGGACAAUGGGCGCAAGCCUGAUCCAGCCAUACCGCGCGGGUGAAGAAGGCCUUCGGGUUGUAAAGCCCUUUUGUUGGGAAAGAAAAGCAGCAGGUUAAUACCCCGCUGUUCUGACGGUACCCAAAGAAUAAGCACCGGCUAACUUCGUG
rnacentral:rRNA from 1 species